AGAGGAGUGGUUAGCUUCUGCGAAGCUACGAAUCGAAGCCCCAGUAAACGGCGGCCGUAACUAUAAAGGUCCUAAGGUAGCGAAAUUCCUUGUCGGGUAAGUUCCGACCCGCACGAAAGGCGUAACGAUUUGGGCCCUGUCUCAACGAGAGACUCGGUGAAAACAUCCUACCUGUGAAGAUGCAGGUUACCCGCGACAGGACGGAAAGACCCCGUGGAGCUUUACUGUAGCCUGAUAUUGCAAUUCGGCUGUGGUUGUUGUGGUUUGGUUGGUGGGUUUGUUUGGUG
rnacentral:rRNA from 1 species